UUGACCUCAAAUCAGGUAGGACUACCCGCUGAACUUAAGCAUAUCAAUAAGCGGAGGAAAAGAAACUAACAAGGAUUCCCCUAGUAACUGCGAGUGAAGCGGGAAAAGCUCAAAUUUGAAAUCUGGCGGUUCCUUGGACYGUCCGAGUUGUAAUCUAGAGAAGUGUUACCUGUGCUGGACCGUGUACAAGUCUCCUGGAAUGGAGCAUCACAGAGGGUGAGAAUCCCGUCUUUGACACGGACUGCCUGUGCGAUAUGGUGCGCUCUCGAAGAGUCGAGUUGUUUGGGAAUGCAGCUCAAAAUGGGUGGUAAAUGCCAUCUAAAGCUAAAUAUUGGCGAGAGACCGAUAGCGAACAAGUACCGUGAGGGAAAGAUGAAAAGAACUUUGGAAAGAGAGUUAAACAGUACGUGAAAUUGCUGAAAGGGAAACGCUUGAAGUCAGUCGCGUCGGCUAGAAAUCAGUCUUGCUUCUGCUUGAUGUACUUUCUGGUCUGACGGGUCAGCAUCAAUUUUGACCGCCGGAUAAAGUCAUCGGGGGUUUAAUCAUCCCGUGUUGCAUACGGUGGUUGGGAUUGAGGAACUCAGCACGCCGCGAGGCCGGGUCCUUUGGACCACGUUCGUGCUCAGGAUGCUGGCAUAAUGGCUUUAAUCGACCCGUC
rnacentral:rRNA from 1 species